AGCGAACGCUGGCGGCAGGCCUAACACAUGCAAGUCGAACGCCCCUUCGGGGGAGUGGCGGACGGGUGAGUAACGCGUGGGAAUGUGCCCUUUGGUACGGAACAACUGAGGGAAACUUCAGCUAAUACCGUAUGUGCCCUACGGGGGAAAGAUUUAUCGCCAUUGGAGCAGCCCGCGUUGGAUUAGGUAGUUGGUGGGGUAAUGGCCCACCAAGCCGACGAUCCAUAGCUGGUCUGAGAGGAUGAUCAGCCACACUGGGACUGAGACACGGCCCAGACUCCUACGGGAGGCAGCAGUGGGGAAUCUUGCGCAAUGGGCGAAAGACUGACGCAGCCAUGCCGCGUGAAUGAUGAAGGUCUUAGGAUUGUAAAAUUCUUUCACCGGGGAAGAUAAUGACGGUACCCGGAGAAGAAGCCCCGGCUAACUUCGUG
rnacentral:rRNA from 1 species